rnacentral:rRNA from 1 species
CAGGGAUUGCCCUAGUAACGGCGAGUGAAGCGGCAACAGCUCAAAUUUGGAAUCUGGCUCUCGGGCCCGAGUUGUAAUUUGUAGAGGAUACUUUUGAUGCGGUGCCUUCCGAGUUUCCUGGAACGGGACGCCAUAGAGGGUGAGAGCCCCGUCUGGUUGGAUGCCAAAUCUCUGUAAAGUUCCUUCAACGAGUCGAGUAGUUUGGGAAUGCUGCUCUAAAUGGGAGGUAUAUGUCUUCUAAAGCUAAAUACCGGCCAGAGACCGAUAGCGCACAAGUAGAGUGAUCGAAAGAUGAAAAGCACUUUGAAAAGAGAGUUAAAAAGUACGUGAAAUUGUUGAAAGGGAAGCGUUUAUGACCAGACUUGGGCUUGGUUAAUCAUCUGGGGUUCUCCCCAGUGCACUUUUCCAGUCCAGGCCAGCAUCAGUUUUCCCCGGGGGAUAAAGGCGGCGGGAAUGUGGCUCUCUUCGGGGAGUGUUAUAGCCCACCGUGUAAUACCCUGGGGGGGACUGAGGUUCGCGCAUCUGCAAGGAUGCUGGCGUAAUGGUCAUCAACGACCCGUCUUGAAACACGGACCAAGGAGUCGUCUUCGUAUGCGAGUGUUCGGGUGUCAAACCCCUACGCGUAAUGAAAGUGAACGCAGGUGAGAGCUUCGGCGCAUCAUCGACCGAUCCUGAUGUUCUCGGAUGGAUUUGAGUAAGAGCAUACGGGGCCGGACCCGAAAGAAGGUGAACUAUGCCUGUAUAGGGUGAAGCCAGAGGAAACUCUGGUGGAGGCUCGCAGCGGUUCUGACGUGCAAAUCGAUCGUCAAAUAUGGGCAUGGGGGCGAAAGACUAAUCG